GGGAGAUUUGCUCUGCUACAAGGGUUUGUGAUAAAGGAUUAAUUUUCUUAAUUACUAUAUUUUGCAAGAAUCGAUAUUAUUAUCUUUAAAGCAAAAUUAGGAAUGCCUUUGUUCUUCAGAUAUGGCGAUAUCUGGACACUCCUAAGUCCGGGUCUGUUUUAGUAAACAUUAUUAAUUUGUUCCCUUAACCAUAAACCUCUAGGGGCUCGGAAUACCCACCUUUCUGGUAAUGCAGCCCAGCGGGUCCCAGCCUCGUUUUCCAGCCCUCACUCAAAAUGGAGUCGCUCUGGUUCGAACGCCUCUGACAAGUGUGUACCUACGUGUCAGGCCCAUCCUUCCUGCAGGCCUUUGUCUUGGUGUCACCCUGCCUGAGCUGGCCCCAACCACAGUAGCAACAGUGAUGCUGAUGUGUGACUGCUGCCAGGAGCCUGCUCACAUGACCGUGUGGAGAAAGUUCUUUCCCUGAGGACCAUCUGGAGUGGACGCGUGCACUACCCCUCUCUGAAUACACCCUCCCCACGAGGCCCUCUGGAGCAUCCUGUAGAGCCAGCCCCUACCCAGAGACCCUGAGCCCAGAGAAUGCGCUGGGUGGUGAGCCUGGGGACGAAUGCAGAGCCCUAGGUCUCCUCUCCAGAAAGACCGGAUUUUGCCAUGUUGGCCAGGCUGGUCUUGAACUCCUGACCUCAAGUGAUCCACCUGCCUCGGCCUCCCAAAGUGCAGGGAUUACAGGUGUGAGCCACUGCACCCGGCCUCAGGCAGGUAUUUUUACCAGCCGAAUACUCUUGCACUGUGCACUCUUCGUGUUCAUCAUCAGUCCCCCGGAUGGGUGUUUAAGGCAUUUCCAAAGCUCUGUUAUUAAAAACACGAUGCAAUGAGUUUCUUUCAGC
rnacentral:lncRNA from 1 species